rnacentral:rRNA from 1 species
GAUGAAUGCUGGCGGCGUGCCUAACACAUGCAAGUCGAGCGGCAGCGAGGGGUGCUUGCACCCUGUCGGCGAGCGGCGGACGGCUGAGUAACGCGUGGGAAUCUACCCUAAAGUGAGGGAUAACCGCCCGAAAGGGUGGCUAAUACCGCAUAUGAUCUUCGGAUUAAAGGAUUUAUCCGCUUUAGGAAGAGCCCGCGUUAGAUUAGGUAGUUGGUAGGGUAAUGGCCUACCAAGCCAACGAUCUAUAGCUGGUCUGAGAGGAUGAUCAGCCAGACUGGAACUGAGACACGGUCCAGACUCCUACGGGAGGCAGCAGUGAGGAAUCUUCCACAAUGGGCGAAAGCCUGAUGGAGCAACGCCGCGUGAAGGAUGAAGGCCUUCGGGUUGUAAACUUCUUUUAUGAGUGAAGAAUAUGACGGUAACUCAUGAAUAAGCACCGGCUAACUACGUGCCAGCAGCCGCGGUCAUACGUAGGGUGCAAGCAUUAUCCGGAGUGACUGGGCGUAAAGAGUUGCGUAGGCGGUUUAGUAAGUGAAUAGUGAAACCUGGUGGCUCACCAUACAGACUAUUAUUCAAACUGUUAAACUCGAGAGUGGUAGAGGUAACUGGAAUUUCUAGUGUAGGAGUGAAAUCCGUAGAUAUUAGAAGGAACACCAAUGGCGUAGGCAGGUUACUGGACCAUUUCUGACGCUAAGGCACGAAAGCGUGGGGAGCGAACUGGAUUAGAUACCCAGGUAGUCCACGCCGUAAACGAUGGAUACUAGCUGUUGGAGGUAUCGACCCCUUCAGUAGCGAAGCUAACGCGUUAAGUAUCCCGCCUGUGGAGUACGGCCGCAAGGCUAAAACAUAAAGGAAUUGACGGGGACCCGCACAAGCGGUGGAUCAUGUUCUUUAAUUCGAUGAUAAACGAAGAACCUUACCAGGGUUUGACAUCCCGAGAAGAUUUACGAAAGUAAAUUGUGCCUUUUGGAACUCGGUGACAGAUGAUGCAUGGCCGUCGUCAGCUCGUGUCGUGAGAUGUUUGGUUAAGUCCAUCAACGAGCGCAACCCUUGUGAAUAGUUGAAUUUUUCUAUUCAGACUGCCCCGGCAACGGGGAGGAAGGAGGGGAUGAUGUCAGGUCAGUAUUUCUCUUACAUCCUGGGCUAGAAACGUGAUACAAUGGCAAGUACAAUGCGCAGCGAAGCCGCGAGGUGAAGCAAAUCGCACCAAAGCUUGUCCCAGUUCGGAUUGGAGGCUGAAACUCGCCUCCAUGAAGUCGGAAUCGCUAGUAAUCGCAGGUCAGCAAACUGCGGUGAAUACGUUCCCGGGUCU